AUUGAGUCCAUCCCCUUGUUCCUCCUCCAUAUUAAUCACGUGUUGGGCAGGUCCAACUUGGUGUGCAGCAGUUUGUGUUUUAACCUCAACAUUUGACUGCCUGUUCUCAACAAAGUGUGGAUGUUUGUAAGGAAGCUUGUGAGUACCAUCCAAAUUAAGUUCCUUACCAGUGUUUUUGUCCACCAAAGUAGCAGAACCCACAAUAGCAGGGGACUGUCGAGCAUCCUGGAACUUGUUCACAGUGCCUCGUGUUGUGUGAGCAAUGGUGCUGGCUUGGGGAACAUCCUGAGGGAUGGGUUGCACUUCUCUUGGUUUGGGAAAAGCAGAGAUGAAAGUGGACAAGUAACUCUGCAGGUCACCAAGGGUCUUGUGCAGAGACUGAAAAUUAUCAUGCACAAAAUCUCUCAACUCAUCAAACUCUAGCCGAUUCUGCUCUCUGUUUUUCUGCAUCAUCUGGACAUCAAGUUGCAGGGAGGUGAACUCCAGCUGAUCUGUGGAAGAGGAGUCGGAUGGUCCUACCAUCUUUUGCAUGAGAGAACGCAGGGAGGGUUUCUAGUUGGUGGUGAGCCAAGUACCUCACUGCGGUGACCAACAAGCGCAAGGAGAGGAAUUUUACCACGACCGAAGCUGCAACCCGAUCUUUGUGCUGUUAGUCCUGCCGCCUCCUGCACCGCCGCCUUUGGCGCGCCACCAGAGUACACCGGAUCCCGGAGGGUGGUGGGAUUUUACCGCGCAAGCAGGUAGCUUUUGAAACCACUAACCUCACCAUACCAGUACUGAAUGAUCGCCGCCACAAGUGCCAGCAGAGUAUCACCGUCGCCGUGAUAGGGAGGGAGGGAGAGGGAUUUUACAACUCGUCCCACAUCAUCCCUGCCACCAGAUCCAAAAAAACACCGAGGAGAGACUGGCUCUGAAUACCAUUAUCAGACCUUGCUAGUCUGAAGAACUGAACAUAGAAGAAAUGCACUCGAACUAGCCGUCUUUACUCGCGAAUUUAAGGAAGUAGCUUGGGAGCUGGUACAAGGUUGCCAACCAGGAACACUGGCGGCGCAAUAGGGGGAAACCCUAGAAGAAUGUCAUGCCCUGAUCGAGCUGGAAUCAUGGCUUAUAUAGACUUACAAAAGCGAGGAACGGUAAAGCUAAAACGAAAACAAAAAUGAAAAGCGUGCCGGAUGAACGACAGUAACGCCCGACGCUGGGAUCGCCGUUCGAUCGAGGAUCAACGGUUGUCGGGGCCUUUCAUUCAGCAAAGCGGCACGGAAGCCUGGGAGGCGUUGGAUCAGUGAUGGACGGUCGUGGUUGCUUCCCGCCAAGGUUCUUCAUUUGAAAUGUUUCGACUGAAUCUGAAUUCAGACACUGGGUCCUGACAACCGUCCAUGCUUCUCAUAAUGUUAUUACCAUGUCUAUAGCUUACGUACAUAAGUGCUACACUAAUAAUGUGGUGUAGCAGGUAUUGAUUCCAAUGGAGUAAGGGUACCAAGUGGCUAUUGUAGCAUACCGGCGUUCCGGCUUUCGCAUGUUGUUAUAUCCAACAGUGGUGUUACUCGUGUAGCUCCUAGCCUCGAUACUAUAUGUACCUCCGAAGAAUCUUAUUCAUCUAAACUACAUGUAAUUAGUACGUCUUGACUUCUAAAAAAAAUCAUCAUGUCAUGUUAUUUAUUUUUUCUCUUGUAGGCUAGUUCGCAAGAGAUCUGCUUGUAUUGCGUCGCGUUGGUCAUCUUCUUUUGAAAUUAUCUUAUACUGAUAUUCGUCUACCGAGACACCUCUACAUACUGAAAUGAUCAAGGAUGACAAGAAAGCAACUAAUGUACUAGGAUGUGCAGGAAUGUCUACAAGGAAAAGAAGCAAUUAUCUUUGGUUUUAGAAAAUAACGACACAAAGCAUGAAGGUUCGAAGCGAACUAUCUAAUCAUGGGGACCAACAACAACAAGAAGAGCCCAAGAUCUGGAGACGCAAAGCAUUAUGUGAUGAAGAGAACGCUGAUAAAGCAUGAUGGUCGUAAGCAAUCCAUCCAAACUUGACAGCCAAGAGAAAAUCAUCUAGAGUGCUGACAAACAACAAGCUACUCCAUCAACUUUUAGUUAGACAGUGUACUAUGCUCAUCCGUUGUACUUUUUUCACAACAAUUAACAAAUGAUAUUUUUUGUGACUCAUGUGUUCUGGGUGAUUAUUAAGAUGGUCAAAAUUAUGAUUUGUCCAGAUUGAUGUGUUUAUAAACUUGGGUUCAAUGUAUAUUCAUGUUUGUGAACA